UACGUAGGGAGCAAGCGUUGUCCGGAAUCAUUGGGCGUAAAGCGCGCGUAGGCGGCCCCGUAAGUCCGCUGUGAAAGUCGAAGGCUCAACCUUUGAAAGCCGGUGGAUACUGUGGGGCUAGAGUACGGAAGAGGCGAGUGGAAUUCCUGGUGUAGCGGUGGAAUGCGCAGAUAUCAGGAGGAACACCAAUAGCGAAGGCAGCUCGCUGGGACGUUACUGACGCUGAGGCGCGAAAGCGUGGGGAGCGAACAGG
rnacentral:rRNA from 1 species